rnacentral:rRNA from 1 species
AUUGAACGCUGGCGGCAGGCCUAACACAUGCAAGUCGAACGAGUGGCGGACGGGUGAGUAAUGUCUGGGAAACUGCCUGAUGGAGGGGGAUACAUACUGGAAACGGUAGCUACUCCCGCAUUCCAUCGGCUGUGCCCAGAUGGGAUUAUCUAGUCGGUGGGUAAAGGCUAACCUAGGCGACGAUCCCUAGCUGGUCUGAGAGGAUGACCAGCCACAAUGGAACGGAGACACGGUCCAGACUCCUACGGGAGGCAGCAGUGGGGAAUAUUGCACAAUGGGCGCAAGCCUGAUGCAGCCAUGCCGCGUGUAUGAAGAAGGCCUUCGGGUUGUAAAGUACUUUCAGCGGGGAGGCGUUACCCGCAGAAGAAGCACCGGCUAACUCCGUGCCAGCAGCCGCGGUAAUUC